UACGUAGGGUGCGAGCGUUAAUCGGAAUUACUGGGCGUAAAGCGUGCGCAGGCGGUCUGUUAAGACCGAUGUGAAAUCCCCAGCUUAACCUGGGAACUGCAUCCGAUACUGGAUGGCUUGAAUUCGGGAGAGGGAUGCAGAAUUCCAGGUGUAGCGGUGAAAUGCGUAGAUAUCGGAAGGAACAUCAGUGGCGAAAGCGACUUCCUGGACCAGUACCGACGUUCAGGCACGAAGAGCGUGGGGAGCAAACAGG
rnacentral:rRNA from 1 species